rnacentral:lncRNA from 1 species
CCUAUUGUGCAUUUUAACUUUAUAACCGCUUUUAAUUAUUUUAAACUGCUUUUAGGAUUUAUGAAAUUAUUUCUUGAACAAGUUACGAUUGUCGUACACUUGUUUGUUUUAGAACACACCGCGAACCACGCUACAUGAAAUGCACCCUCGAUUCACGACAUGUUUAUUCUAUGAAUAUUCGAAGUUGUUAUGAUCGGGUUACAUGAAAUGCAUCCCGAAUUCGGGAUUUAGGUAUCAUGACUAUGCCACGGG